rnacentral:tRNA from 1 species
GGGUGGUUAGCUCAGCUGGUUAGAGUACCUGCUUGACAUGCAGGGGGUCGUUGGUUCGAGUCCAAUACUACCCACCA